rfam:Oryza punctata chromosome 6, whole genome shotgun sequence.
GUGAGAAUCACAGUGCAGUUCUCCUCUGGCAUGGAUGCCAAUGUAGCAGGCGUUAGACUACGUAUAUUGCUAUUGCCAUCCCUGCCAAAGGAGAAUUGCCCUGCCAUUCAGCA